GAUGAACGCUAGCGGGAGGCCUAACACAUGCAAGCCGAGCGGUAUUGUUUCUUCGGAAAUGAGAGAGCGGCGUACGGGUGCGUAACACGCGUGCAACCUGCCUUUAUCUGGGGGAUAGCCUUUCGAAAGGAAGAUUAAUACUCCAUAAUAUAUUGAACGGCAUCGUUUAAUAUUGAAAGCUCCGGCGGAUAGAGAUGGGCACGCGCAAGAUUAGCUAGUUGGUGAGGUAACGGCUCACCAAGGCGAUGAUCUUUAGGGGGCCUGAGAGGGUGAUCCCCCACGCUGGUACUGAGACACGGACCAGACUCCUACGGGAGGCAGCAGUGAGGAAUAUUGGUCAAUGGGUGCAAGCCUGAACCAGCCAUCCCGCGUGAAGGACGACUGCCCUAUGGGUUGUAAACUUCUUUUGUAUAGGGAUAAACCUACCCUCGUGAGGGUAGCUGAAGGUACUAUACGAAUAAGCACCGGCUAACUCCGUGCCAGCCGCCGCAGUAA
rnacentral:rRNA from 1 species